rnacentral:tRNA from 3 species
GCCGAUGUAGCUCAGCUGGUAGAGCAGCUCACUCGUAAUGAGCAGGUCUGGGGUUCGAGUCCCCACAUCGGCUCCA